rnacentral:piRNA from 1 species
UUGCCAAGUGAAUGCCAAAUG